UGGGAAUGAGGUUCAGAACACAGGGCUCACCC
rnacentral:piRNA from 1 species